ACAAAGUUAAGUAUGGACUAAAAUUACAAUCAGUAAAUCGGAAGAUGGAAAUCCUUCCUCGUUCCACUAUGAAUCCUUGUAUCCUGUGAUUGCUCAUGUCUCGGCUCCUCGCCGGCGGCAAAAGGUGUUAAAGUGGUAUCAGAUUUGGCUAUCCUCAGUGUUGGGUUUCGGGCGGCGUUGUGGCGGCGCUAGCGGCGGUAGAUCAGGCGUUUGAGUUGGUGGCGGUGCUGACGGCGAUAGAUCGGACGUUUGUACUGGAGGCGUCGGCGGUGGCGAUUUCGGAUUGGAAAUUGGCAGCGCAGGCGGCGGGAUCUUCUCUGGAGACGCUGGCGAUGACGAUUUCACAAUUCCGUCGAUCAGCACCGUAGUGAGUCCAAUUAUCCCAUCGAUCUCAGCCUGCGAACGGAAUUGGUAGGGUUAUCUCGAUCCUUGUGGCACACCGCUACUUGGGACGAAUCCUAUAAUUCCUCUUCCUGUGGGUUCGAUUUCCGACGUGAUUCAUCACGGCUCCUCCAAAGCCAUUGGUGCAGACUCAGUUCAUCCUCGACGCCAUGGAGUCCAUGGAGCAGCGUGAGAAGACUCGUUGGGACAGCAUGGAAGAGAUUAUUGAUCUGUUGUUUGCCAAGGUUGGUGAAACUGACAAGACCCAACAGUAGAUGUCAGCACAAAUGGAUCUAAGUGCUCAAAUCAUUGAGCGUGUGUUGAAGGAUCAGACUCUGUUGGCCAAACAGAUGGAAACUACUGGGCAAGCUAUGGCUCGUCUGUCUUUGAAUCAUUCCCAGCGAGAAGAAUUUCAGCGUCCUAGACAUCAUCAUCAUCAUAGGACUAUUGCUGGAGAUCUUUCUUCUGAAGAUGAGGUACAUACCACCCAUCCACACCCUCAUCACUUGGGUAGAAAUGCUGGUAGAAAUUCACUGUUACAUCAUUAUGUACCUAAGAUGCCUUUUCCGAGGUUUGCUGGUGAUAAUCUUAGAAUUUGGAAGGAUAAGUGCCUUGAUUAUUUUCGCAUAUCCAAUCUUCCUGAAGCAUUAUGGGUACCUACUGCAUCCAUGUGUAUGGACGAUAAUGCAGCCAGGUGGUUAGAAGUGUACAAGUUGAAACAUGGGUUGGGAAAUUAGAAUACUUUCAUUACUGCUGUAGAAAGUCAGUUUGGAUGAUUAUAGAGAUGCAAUUAGUGACUUGGUGGCUUUGACACAAGAAGGUAGUCUAGAAGAGUACAUAUCAGCUUUCACGGAUUUGUAGUAUCAAGUCUAAAUGCAUAAUCAGGGAUUGGAUGAAAUCUAUUUUGUGACACAGUUUACUAAAGGGUUGAAACCUGAAUUAUCAGCUGGAGUUCAAGCUCAAGUGCCCAAGAAAAUGAAGAAGGUUAUCUUUAUUGGCUAAAGUUCAGCAACAAAUUCUAGAUAGCAAACAGUUGAAGUUUAGCAAAUACAAUAGCAAAGGCAAGACGAAGUGCCAAAAUUUGAGAGCAAAACCUCACAGCCUAACAAUACUUUGUGGAGAGAGAGGUAGCUGAGGGAUUUUCAGAAAAACCAAUGGGCUGUGCAUAUAUUGUUGUGACAAAUAUAAUGCUGCUCAUGCUUCUAGUUGUACUAAAAGACCUCAAGCUCAAGUACAUGCCUUGGUGGUCAAUGAUCUGGAUAACACUUUGACUGAUGAGGUAUUGAAUUAGUUGGCUAUUGAAGAUGCUAUAUCUGAAGACUUUUAGCAAUUGUCCAUAAGAGCAAUAUCUAGCACUGCUAAGGGGGAAGUCUUAAAAGAUCAAGGCAACUGUUAAGAACAAGGUGAUGCUAAUUUUGCUAGAUAGUGGCAAUUCAUAGUUUUGUGAGUUCUUCUUUCUAGUCUCAAGUGGGUAUCUCACUAGUGGCUAUGGCUCCCAAGAAAGUGAAAGUGACUAAUGGGCGAAUUUUGAUUUCUAACAAGAAAGUGCCUCAACUGGAAUGGUGGUGUUAGGGACAUACUUUGGCUUCUGACAUGCAAGUUUUAGAGUUGGAUACAUAUGAUGCUAUUCUAGCUUAUGACUGGCUGAAGCCACACAAUCCAAUGACCUGAAUCAUACAAUAGAAUUUCAAGAUCGAGGCAGAGAUAUUAAGCUUCAAGGGGUGCAUCCAGUUUCACUGACACUCUUUGAAAUGUCAGUUGAGAACUUCUUCAAGUCUUACAAAGGAAAUGAUAUUUGGGCAAUGGCAGUUGUUAACUUUGUUCCUCUAGUUCCUGUUUCUCUCUCAAUUGAAAUUGAUGCUCUGUUGCAAGAAUUUGAGGAUGUAUUUGCUAAACCCAGUACAUUACCUCCACGACAAAUUUGUGACCAUUCUAUUCCACUUUUGCCAAAUGCUGUUCCUAUGAACUCAAGACCUUAAAAGUAUUCACCUAAACACAAAGAUGAAAUUGAGAGACAAGUACUUGAGUUGUUGGAUGCCGGACUCAUAACACGCAGUACAAGUCCAUUGCCUCUCUAGUGUUGUUGGUGCAGAAGAAGGAUGGUAGUUGGAGAUUCUGUGUUGACUACAGGAAAUUGAAUGAGUUGACAAUGCAAAAACAGAUUUCCAAUGCCAAUCAUUGAGAAAAUUUUAGAUCAAUUGGCGGGGACUCAGUUCUUCACCAAAUUAGAUAUGACUGCAGGAUACCACCAAAUUAGAAUGCAGCAAGAAGAUGAGUACAAAAUUGCAUUCAAGACACAUCAUGGGCAUUUUCAAUUCAGAGUCAUGCCUUUUGGUCUUACUAAUGCACCUGCUACUUUUCAAUGCAUGAUAAAUCAAGUCCUACAACCAUUCCUCAGAAAAUUUGUUUUAGUUUUUCUAGAUGAUAUAUUGAUUUAUAGUCCUUCAUGGGAAGUUCACAUUCAGCAUCUCAGAACAGUUCUCUCGGAGUUGAGAAAACACAAAUUCUAUCUUAAGAGUAGUAAAUGCUCUUUUGCUCAAACUCAAAAUGAAUAUUUGGGGCAUAUCAUUUCAAGACAAGAGGUAGCAACAGAUCUUGCUAAAACAACUGCUAUGCUGAACUCAGGGGUUUCUUAAGCCUCACUGGUUAUUACAGGAGAUUUGUCCAACAUUAUGGUAUUGUGACAAAGCCUCUGAAAAUUUGUUGAAGAAGAAUCAAUUUCUGUAGUCUACUUCUACUGAUCAAGCAUUUAAUGCUCUGAAGAAAAUCACGACUAAAACUCCAGUGCUUGCUUUACCAGAUUCCAGUGCUCCUUUUGUGGUGGAAACUGAUGCUUUGUGCAACUGGAGUGGGAGCAGUGCUCAUGCAGAAGGAGAAACCUAUUGCAUUUCUGAGAAAGUCUUUGGGAUCCAAACAUCAAAACCUUUCUAUUUUAUGAAAUGGAGUUUCUGGCAUUAAUUAUGGCAGUAGAGAAGUGGAGGCCAUAUCUACAAAGACAAGAGUUAAUCAUCACAACAUAUCAUAAGAGUUUGUCAUACUGGUCUGAACAAAAUUUGCAGUCUGAACUCCAACGUAAGGCAAUAACUAGAUUGAUGGGUAUGCACAUUAAAAUUGUUAAAAAAAAAGGGAAAGACAACAUUGCCAUGGAUGCAUUGUCUAGAGUGGCUCAUUUGAUGAUGCUCCACGCAGUCUCAGAGGCUACCCCAUUAUGGGCUCAGCAAGUAUUAAACUCUUACCAUACCAAUAUUGUGGCUCAAGAAUUAUUACAGUCAUUAGCAAUUAAGUCACCCAAUGACCAAGGCUAUUAUUUAGAGAAAGGGUUGAUUAAACAUGAUAAUCAUGUCUGGAUUGGCAACAACUCUGCAUUGCGAACUAAAGUUAUUGCAGCUUUACAUAUGAGUCCUAUUGGAGGUCACUCCUGUAUCAAUUCCACUUAUCACAAAGUCAAACACCUAUUUCAUUGGAAGGGUUUGAAGCAAGAUGUUGAGAAUUUUGUGAAAUAGUAUGGGAUCUGUCAGCAGGCUUGAGCAUAGCCAUCCAGCUGGGCUUUUACAACCACUACCAAUACCCGCUGGUGCUUGACAAGAUAUUACACUAGACUUUGUGGAAGGUCUUCCAAUGUCAGAGGGUGGGCUAUAAUGCGAUAUUGGUCGUUGUUGACAGAUUCACAAAAGUAUGCACAUUUCUUGGGACUUAAACAUCCUUUCACAGCUCAACAAGUGGCUACCUUGCUCUUGGACUCAGUAGUUAAACUACAUGGAAUGCCAAAGACCAUUCUAUCUGAUAGAGACAAGAUAUUCCUCAGCAAUGUGUGGUAGUAUCUUUUCUCACAACUGCGAAGCAAGCUCUUGCACAGUACAACCUAUUAUCCACAGACAGAUGGACAAACAGAGUGAGUCAAUAAGUGCCUGGAGAUGUACUUGAGAUGUGCAGUGCAACAGCCACCUAAGCAGUGGAGAAAAUGGUUGUCUCUAGCUGAACUCUGGUACAAUUCUUCUUAUCACUUUGCUAUAGAUUGCUCUCCUUUCAAAGCCCUAUAUGGCUAUGAGCCAAAUCUGGGUGUGGUUUCAGUUUCUUCUGAUAGUGCUACACCAGAUAUCACUAUGUCGGAGAUGAUUCAGGAUCGAGCAAUGCAUGCAUUGAUGUUGAAGAAGCAGUUAGUUGUGGCUCAGAGUGGAAUGAAGCUACAGGAACAAACAAAGAGUGGACAGAACUUUCCAGUUGGGGGAACAUGUCCUGCUGAAGUUACAACCUUAUGCCCAAAUAUCGGUGGUCAAUCGUCCUUUCCCAAAACUAGCUUUCAAAUUCUUUGGUCUUUAUACUGUGCUAGAGAAAUUUGGGACGAUAGCUUACAAACUGGAUCUGCCGGCUAACAGUAAGGUGCACAAUGUAUUUCAUGUCUCUCAAUUGGAGCCAUUUACACCUGAUCAUACCCCCAAACUACUCUGAGAUCGCCAAGCUCAUCGACUUGAGCUCUCAUCCAACUGAACUUGAGUUGAUUCUGGAUCGAUGUCUGAUCUAGCAAGGUAACACUGCAAUUCCACAAGUGUUGAUCAAGUGGACAAGUUUCUCUACAUCUGCAGCAGUCUGGGAAGACCUGUACGUUGUCAAGAAGAAGUUCCCGUGGGCGAUCACUUGGGGUCAAGCUCCAGCUCAGGGGGAUGUCAUGACUACAGCCAUGACAUGAAGACGCUUUGCCUAAGCUGAGGCGUAUUUCCUAAAGACGCAUUCGACAUCGUUAGUUUGUAAUGCUUUGCUUACACUAUCUGUGCGCCUGAGACCAGGUGUGCCGUGUACGGCUUAUAAGCCUAGCUCUGUAACAAAUUUGAGUAUGAACUAAAAUCUCUACAGCUAAAAAAAACAAGAUUGAGUGUAAAACGUUGUACGUCGCUCUUUCCUCCGCUCAUCGUCUUGCGCUCCAGGUCGUACGCGCCGUCCGUCGCCGUGAAUCGCGGCGCGGGGAGCUCCAGCGCCCUAGGAUCCAAGGAGAUGCCCCCACCCGCUUCCACGGACGUCCCUCGACACGAGCGAACGGUCGUAGGCCCUUCAAUCGUCCUACGAUCGUCCUGUCCCUUCUCCUCACACCUAUCCCCGCAUGACGCCUCCCAUCACUUCGUUCCCCUCCGCCGCCACCGCCCGUCCACUACUGCACGGCGCCCUAAACCGCCGCCUCGACGCCCUCCUCCAUCGCCACGGACGCCGUCCUCGACCGCAGCCCCUACAACGUCGUCAACCGCAGCAUUGACGGACGGCGUCCUCAACCAACGCACUGACGACGUGCAUCGCCGCGCCAUCGCCUGGCUGAAGCUGUCCUCAGUCUCCAGCUCCUUCCUUCUCCAUCCUAGGACUCCAAGCAUCACCCGCCCUACGAACUUCCUGCGUCGCGGCCGCCGCGUGAUUCGGAUGCGCCGCAGAACCGCCCAUGCCGCCGCGCUGGUUCGACGCCGUCGAGUGCGCUGCCUGGUGGAGCAUGCGCCGCUGUUGGACGACGGUUUCGAUCGGCGACGCCUAGAUCAAGGGGUACUUCGCGCCGGCGAAGGACGUGUCCAGGCCUCCAGGGAUGAUGCCGGUCCACUGCCCUGGUUCUGUGCCAUCGACUACAACUUCCUGGUGGUGGACACCGCGCCGCUAAUCAAGCAAGCACCCCGUGUCGAUGACGGCAACGAUCACGUCAGUGGAGGAGGCUCCCUGGACCCUGUGUGACGUCUGUGGUAGUGGCUGCAUCGGCGGCGGCGGCGGUGGACGCAGCUCCUCAUCCUUAGCCGGUGGUGGUGAGUGGCAGGACUAAUUGAUUUCCUGUUGAGCGCUUGCUUGAUCUGUAUGUUUGUUCUUGCGCUUAUACCCACUUCCAUGUGUGGAUUUAGGGUGGUUGUACGAUUCGAUCUUGUGUUGGAUCGGUUAUCAAUGAGCAUGUGCUGCUAAAUCUGGUUCA